CAGUCGCCACGGGAAUACGUAGGUGGCAAGCGUUGUCCGGAAUUAUUGGGCGUAAAGGGCUCGCAGGCGGUUUCUUAAGUCUGAUGUGAAAGCCCCCGGCUCAACCGGGGAGGGUCAUUGGAAACUGGGAAACUUGAGUGCAGAAGAGGAGAGUGGAAUUCCACGCGUAGCGGUGAAAUGCGUAGGGAUGUGGAGGAACACCAGUGGCGAAGGCGACUCUCUGGUCUGUAACUGACGCUGAGGAGCGAAAGCGUGGGGAGCGAACAGGAUUAGAUACCCCUGUAGUCCCUGUCUCUUAUAC
rnacentral:rRNA from 1 species